rnacentral:rRNA from 1 species
CCAAUAGCGUAUAUUAAAGUUGCUGCAGUUAAAAAGCUCGUAGUUGAAUUUCGGGAUCAACAUGUCGGUCGUGCCUCGGUACGUACUGGCUUAUUGGUUUCUCCCUUCUGACGAACCAUGAUGUCAUUUAUUUGGUGUUGUGGGAAAUCAGGACUGUUACUUUGAAAAAAUUAGAGUGUUUAAAGCAGGCUCACGCUUGAAUACAUUAGCAUGGAAUAAUGAAAUAGGACGUUUGAUUCUAUUUUGUUGGUUUCUAGGAUCGACGUAAUGAUUAAUAGGGAUAGUUGGGGGCAUUAGUAUUCAAUUGUCAGAGGUGAAAUUCUUGGAUUUAUUGAAGACUAACUACUGCGAAAGCAUUUGCCAAGGAUGUUUUCAUUAAUCAAGAACGAAAGUUAGGGGAUCGAAGACGAUCAGAUACCGUCGUAGUCUUAACCAUAAACUAUGCCGACUAGGGAUCGGAUGAUGUUAAUUUUUUAAUGACUCAUUCGGCGCCUUACG